CAUCUCUGUAACUGGUCCAACGUGGGGGCUCUAGGCUAAUAUCCAGAACACCUCGGUUGACAACUGGGAGAGACCAUGGGGGCUCUGACAGGGCUGCUGCCCACGCUGGUCGCUCUGUUCUGGACCCUUCCUCCAGGUCCGCUGCUGUCAGUCGGGUCUUCAGGUGAGAAAUGCCGCGGCUUUCGACAUCUGGAGAACGGCAGAACGUUCUUCCGUUAUGGAGGUCUGUAUGUGACGUUCACCUGUAAUUCUGGUUACAAGAUGCAUGGAUACAGAACCAACAGCUGUGUGUCUGGUCGAUGGUCCAGGGAAACUCCAGUAUGUGUUGCCUCGGGCUGUCCUAGUCCCGGUAAUCUCCAACACGGUGCUACUAGUCUGAUGGAAGAUGGGUCCUGGGUUCUGUUCAGAUGUGAUGCUGGCUACAGGCUUUAUGGACACUCACUGCUCUACUGCAAGGGCCAGAAUUGGAAUGGCACCAAGCCUGUCUGCAAGGAAUCUGACAUUAUGAGUGGUAGACAGCAUCCUGAGCCAGCAGCCUCCGUGCUUAGGAUUCAGAACCCAAACAAUGACGCUCAUGUCGCUUUGAAGAGCCGUUUGCAGAUUCACUACGACACCGUCGCUAACACAGCCUUCAAGGAGGUGUUCCUGAAGACCGUCCACACCCACCUGAAAGACCCACGCGGCUUGGAUCUCAACCCCAAAACACACAUCAUAAAGGGGAUUCUGACAGACACCAUGGUCUUCACAGGCAGAGAAGGAGCACUUCAAAAGCCCACAAGAGCUAAGACUUCCACAUCCCUGGCUACAACAGAGACCUUUACUCCCAGAUCCGUCCUGGCAGUCUCCUCAGGUGGAAAGUAUGGGCACCAGGGGAGCUCUGUAGCCCAGCCUGAGCUCGAGGAUUCAUUACCCAGGAAGGAGGUGCUGAUGGGGGCCACCCAUGCAAAGCCUGGCCAGGGCAUUACGGAAGCAGCAGAUGUGAGCGGCAUACACCCAGAGACACACACAGUUUCCCAGCAGCCCCAUCCACAGACACACACAGAGCCUAACUCAACCAGCCAAGCAAGCAUGGAACCUCUCAGCUCUAAGGUCAGUCCUACCGAGGUCAGUCCUUUUGGGGUUAGCCCUUCCCCCACUCAUACCUGGGGGUCUCUGCUGUCAACCCUCCUACACACACCCAGAGAGUCAGCAUUUCUUAGCCAAUCUGUCUCAGUGCGGAACCACAUCUUUAAUGCUAGCUCUACCAACAACACCAACACAAGCUAUGGUGACGUUAGCAACGCCGUCCAGGAGAAUCGAACGGACACAAGUGACAGUUCUCGAGACCAGGCAAACAAGGCACUAUCGUCAUUACUUGAGGCUGAUGUGACAUCACCAGAACUAGCACGGAACAGCUCAGCCUAUCACCUUUUGAAGUUUGCCCCAGUGGAGGCCCAGGCCACUGAAACCGAAAAGCACAACAGUCACGGUAGCAAGGCGAAAGAGACUGAAUCAUGGUCGGUUGGCGACGACGACGAGACUUCUCUACACACCAUAGCCUCUCCAGACACGGCUCCAUCAUUCAAGUUGGACCGUCGCCCAGUCACCGGUCACACCGAGGAGCGGCCCAGGACUGGGACGGUGAACCGCCGGCCAGUGUGCCCAUACCCACCCUUUCCUGUGCACGGAACUUUCUACUUCCGCACGGUGGAGAAGCCCGGUCUGCAGGACUACAAGCAUUACAUCCAGUACGCCUGUUAUGCUGGCUACACACUGGCCCACGGCAACCCACACAGCUACUGUCUCCAGGGAGGCCACUGGAGUGGUGUGACGCCUGUCUGCUUGGAAGUGACCCCCUGCUCCUUGAACAACGGAGGGUGUUCCCAGCUGUGCACUUUGGACCAGGACCAGGCCCGGUGUCACUGUAGACCAGGCUUCACCCUGCUAGAGGACCAGCGCACCUGUAGAGAUGUGGAUGAGUGUGUGGAGGGCCGGCGGCGCUGCCAACAGACCUGCGUCAACACCUUCGGUUCGUUCCACUGCUCUUGCCCCUACGGACAGACCCUGGCCGGGGACGGGAGGACCUGCGUGGCUCAGUGCCCAGCAGGAUACAGAAGACAUCCCUCAAACCCGGUUCCUGGACCGUCAAGCCGAGAGGAGUGUGUAGGUGGGAGGAACCGCGGUGGAUUCUCGUUCGAGUCAGAAACGAUUUCAUACAGACACUCAUAA
ensembl:lncRNA